rnacentral:piRNA from 1 species
UUCACCAUUUAGCUGAAGCCCUAGCCAA